CCUACGGGUGGCUGCAGUGAGGAAUAUUGGUCAAUGGGCGCGAGCCUGAACCAGCCAUGUAGCGUGAAGGAUGACUGCCCUACGGGUUGUAAGCUUCUUUUAUCAAGGCAUAGAUUGAGGCACGUGUGCCUGUUUGUAUGUACUUUAUGAAUACGGAUCGGCUAACUCCGUGCCAGCAGCCGCGGUAAUACGGAGGAUCCGGGCGUUAUCCGGAUUUAUUGGGUUUAAAGGGAGCGUAGAUGGGUUUGUAAGUCAGUUGUGAAAGUUUGGGGCUCAACCGCAAAAUUGCAAUUGAUACUGGCAGUCUAGAGAACAGGUGAGGUAGGCGGAAUUCGUGGUGUAGCGGUGAAAUGCUUAGAUAUCACGUAGAACACCGAUUGCGAAGGCAGCUAACUAAACUGCCACUGACACUGAGGCUCGAAAGCGUGGGGAUCAAACAGGAUUAGAUACCCCUGUAGUC
rnacentral:rRNA from 1 species